CCUACGGGAGGCAGCAGUGGGGAAUUUUCCGCAAUGGGCGAAAGCCUGACGGAGCAACGCCGCGUGAGGGAUGAAGGCCUCUGGGCUGUAAACCUCUUUUCUCAAGGAAGAAGAUCUGACGGUACUUGAGGAAUAAGCCACGGCUAAUUCCGUGCCAGCAGCCGCGGUAAUACGGGAGUGGCAAGCGUUAUCCGGAAUUAUUGGGCGUAAAGCGUCCGCAGGCGGUUCUGUAAGUCUGCCGUUAAAGCGUGGAGCUUAACUCCAUUUCGGCGGUGGAAACUGCAGGACUUGAGUGUGGUAGGGGCAGAGGGAAUUCCCGGUGUAGCGGUGAAAUGCGUAGAUAUCGGGAAGAACACCAGUGGCGAAAGCGCUCUGCUGGGCCAUAACUGACGCUCAUGGACGAAAGCCAGGGGAGCGAAAGGGAUUAGAUACCCCAGUAGUC
rnacentral:rRNA from 1 species